UCAUGUUGUGCCGAAGUUAUGGUUUGU
rnacentral:sRNA from 1 species